GGUUAAGCGACUAAGCGUACACGGUGGAUGCCCUGGCAGUCAGAGGCGAUGAAGGACGUGCUAAUCUGCGAUAAGCGUCGGUGAGGUGAUAUGAACCGUUAUAACCGGCGAUUUCCGAAUGGGGAAACCCAGUGUGUUUCGACACACUAUCAUUAACUGAAUCCAUAGGUUAAUGAGGCGAACCGGGGGAACUGAAACAUCUAAGUACCCCGAGGAAAAGAAAUCAACCGAGAUUCCCCCAGUAGCGGCGAGCGAACGGGGAGGAGCCCAGAGCCUGAAUCAGUGUGUGUGUUAGUGGAAGCGUCUGGAAAGGCGCGCGAUACAGGGUGACAGCCCCGUACACAAAAAUGCACAUAUUGUGAGCUCGAUGAGUAGGGCGGGACACGUGGUAUCCUGUCUGAAUAUGGGGGGACCAUCCUCCAAGGCUAAAUACUCCUGACUGACCGAUAGUGAACCAGUACCGUGAGGGAAAGGCGAAAAGAACCCCGGCGAGGGGAGUGAAAAAGAACCUGAAACCGUGUACGUACAAGCAGUGGGAGCCUCUUAAUGGGGUGACUGCGUACCUUUUGUAUAAUGGGUCAGCGACUUAUAUUCUGUAGCAAGGUUAACCGAAUAGGGGAGCCGAAGGGAAACCGAGUCUUAACUGGGCGUUAAGUUGCAGGGUAUAGACCCGAAACCCGGUGAUCUAGCCAUGGGCAGGUUGAAGGUUGGGUAACACUAACUGGAGGACCGAACCGACUAAUGUUGAAAAAUUAGCGGAUGACUUGUGGCUGGGGGUGAAAGGCCAAUCAAACCGGGAGAUAGCUGGUUCUCCCCGAAAGCUAUUUAGGUAGCGCCUCGUGAAUUCAUCUCCGGGGGUAGAGCACUGUUUCGGCAAGGGGGUCAUCCCGACUUACCAACCCGAUGCAAACUGCGAAUACCGGAGAAUGUUAUCACGGGAGACACACGGCGGGUGCUAACGUCCGUCGUGAAGAGGGAAACAACCCAGACCGCCAGCUAAGGUCCCAAAGUCAUGGUUAAGUGGGAAACGAUGUGGGAAGGCCCAGACAGCCAGGAUGUUGGCUUAGAAGCAGCCAUCAUUUAAAGAAAGCGUAAUAGCUCACUGGUCGAGUCGGCCUGCGC
rnacentral:rRNA from 1 species